GCAGCAGUAGGGAAUUUUCGGCAAUGGGGGCAACCCUGACCGAGCAACGCCGCGUGAAUGAAGAAGGUUUUCGGAUCGUAAAGCUCUGUUGUAAGUCAAGAACGGGUGUGAGAGUGGAAAGUUCACACUGUGACGGUAGCUUACCAGAAAGGGACGGCUAACUACGUGCCAGCAGCCGCGGUAAUACGUAGGUCCCGAGCGUUGUCCGGAUUUAUUGGGCGUAAAGCGAGCGCAGGCGGUUUGAUAAGUCUGAAGUUAAAGGCUGUGGCUCAACCAUAGUUCGCUUUGGAAACUGUCAAACUUGAGUGCAGAAGGGGAGAGUGGAAUUCCAUGUGUAGCGGUGAAAUGCGUAGAUAUAUGGAGGAACACCGGUGGCGAAAGCGGCUCUCUGGUCUGUAACUGACGCUGAGGCUCGAAAGCGUGGGGAGCGAACAGGAUUAGAUACCCUGGUAGUCCACGCCGUAAACGAUGAGUGCUAGGUGUUGGAUCCUUUCCGGGAUUCAGUGCCGCAGCUAACGCAUUAAGCACUCCGCCUGGGGAGUACGACCGCAAGGUUGAAACUCAAAGGAAUUGACGGGGGCCCGCACAAGCGGUGGAGCAUGUGGUUUAAUUCGAAGCAACGCGAAGAACCUUACCAGGUCUUGACAUCCCGAUGCUAUUUCUAGAGAUAGAAAGUUACUUCGGUACAUCGGUGACAGGUGGUGCAUGGUUGUCGUCAGCUCGUGUCGUGAGAUGUUGGGUUAAGUCCCGCAACGAGCGCAACCCCUAUUGUUAGUUGCCAUCAUUCAGUUGGGCACUCUAGCGAGACUGCCGGUAAUAAACCGGAGGAAGGUGGGGAUGACGUCAAAUCAUCAUGCCCCUUAUGACCUGGGCUACACACGUGCUACAAUGGUUGGUACAACGAGUUGCGAGUCGGUGACGGCGAGCUAAUCUCUUAAAGCCAAUCUCAGUUCGGAUUGUAGGCUGCAACUCGCCUACAUGAAGUCGGAAUCGCUAGUAAUCGCGGAUCAGCACGCCGCGGUGAAUACGUUCCCGGGCCUUGUACACACCGCCCGUCACACCACGAGAGUUUGUAACACCCGAAGUCGGUGAGGUAACCUUUGGAGCC
rnacentral:rRNA from 1 species